rnacentral:rRNA from 1 species
GACGAACGCUGGCGGCGUGCCUAAUACAUGCAAGUCGAACGCAGUGGGGAACGGGGAGUAACAAGUGGGUAACCUCCCCAUCCGAGUGGAUAACACUUGGAAACUGGUGCUACCCCGAUACCGAUGGCUGAACCCGCGGUGAAUUAGCUAGUUGGUGAGGUAACGGUCCACCAAGGCCAGGAUGCAUAGCCGACCUGAUAGGGUGAUCGGACACACUGGGACUGAGACACGGCCCAGACUCCUACGGUAGGCAGCAGUAGGGAAUCUUCGGCAAUGGACGAAAGUCUGACCGAGCAACGCCGCGUGAGAGAAGAAGGUUUUCGGAUCGUAAAACUCUGUUGUGAGAGAAGCGGUAUCUAACCAGAAAGCCACGGCUAACUACGUGCCAGCAGCCGCGGUAAUAC